GAUGAACGCUGGCGGCGUGCCUAAUACAUGCAAGUCGAGCGAACAGACGAGGAGCUUGCUCCUCUGACGUUAGCGGCGGACGGGUGAGUAACACGUGGAUAACCUACCUAUAAGACUGGGAUAACUUCGGGAAACCGGAGCUAAUACCGGAUAACAUGCUGAACCGCAUGGUUCAACAGUGAAAGACGGUCUUGCUGUCACUUAUAGAUGGUUCCGCGCCGCAUUAGCUAGUUGGUAAGGUAACGGCUUACCAAGGCAACGAUGCGUAGCCGACCUGAGAGGCGGGUCGGCCACACUGGAACGGGGACACGGUCCAGACGCCUACGAGAGGGAGCAGUAGGGAAUCUUCCGCAAUGGGCGAGAGCCUGACGGAGCAACGCCGCGUGAGUUGAGAAGGUCUUCGGAUCGUAAAACUCGGUUAUUAGGGAAGAACAAAUGUGUAAGUAACUGUGCACGUCGUGACGGUACCUAAUCAGAAAGCCACGGCUAACUACGUG
rnacentral:rRNA from 1 species